AGGGUUUGAUCAUGGCUCAGAUUGAACGCUGGCGGCAGGCCUAACACAUGCAAGUCGAGCGGUAGAGAGAAGCUUGCUUCUCUUGAGAGCGGCGGACGGGUGAGUAAUGCCUAGGAAUCUGCCUAGUGGUGGGGGAUAACGUUCGGAAACGGACGCUAAUACCGCAUACGUCCUACGGGAGAAAGCGGGGGAUCUUCGGACCUCGCGCCAUUAGAUGAGCCUAGGUCGGAUUAGCUAGUUGGUGAGGUAAUGGCUCACCAAGGCGACGAUCCGUAACUGGUCUGAGAGGAUGAUCAGUCACACUGGAACUGAGACACGGUCCAGACUCCUACGGGAGGCAGCAGUGGGGAAUAUUGGACAAUGGGCGAAAGCCUGAUCCAGCCAUUCCGCGUGUGUGAAGAAGGUCUUCGGAUUGUAAAGCACUUUAAGUUGGGAGGAAGGGCAGUAACCUAAUACGUUAUUGUUUUGACGUUACCGACAGAAUAAGCACCGGCUAACUUCGUGCCAGCAGCCGCGGUAA
rnacentral:rRNA from 1 species